ACAUCAUAAUCAACCCAGGACAUUCUGUCACAAGGACAUAUAGCUGUGAACUAUGCUGCUACAAAUACUGCAGCCUCUGCCAUGUGCCUAAAAUCCUGAAUUUGAAUCUGUAUUUGUCAGAAAAUAAUAUUCCAUGUGUUCCAAGGAGUUCAUCAAAAGCAUGUGGGAGAUACUGGGAUGUGAUUAGCAAGGCUCCCCCUGUCUCUGGAAGAAGAUGUUGCUAAAAGUCUUUCAUUCACCUCUUCAUACACAUCAUGAUCGUGCUCAUAUUUGGAACAGCAUUGGGAACCAUCCCUUCCUCUUUUGAUAAAGAGAUAUUUACUACAAAGUGUUAAGUCUGAAUUUCUGAGAUCCAGACAUCUCAUCAUAAAAUUCAUCUUGCUUCCUCUUAGUCUUUGGAAAGGCAAAAUUAUCAAAAAAUUGCACAAAAUAUGAGUUUGGUUUGCUGGCAUGGGGGGGGAUUUGACUGUGGCUUUCAAAACUUCAGAUACAUUUUAAGUGUCCAUUUGACACAUAUAUAAUUGAAUGACAUUCUCAUGACAAGGCAAUUUAGAGAACAGUGCAUGCAUUCCUUGAGAGAGGUGUAAGCUUCUUUUAAAGCGAAUUACCUCCACCGCAAAGUAAAGGAAACCCACAGAUUUCUGAACCCUGCCCACUACAAUAUCUAUUUCUUUUGAUUUUGGAGAGAGGUAAGGAUAAGUGUCUGACCAGCUUCUUUGUAGUUCUGAGACCAGAAAUAGUGGAUAUAAAAGCAGAAUACUUUUUUCUUUUUACUGGAUAUAUCCAGGUUCUCCAGCUUCUCUCAAAAGAUUUUACUUUCAAAGUGCAUGAAUAGUUUUCCCUGCUGUGCUCUUAACCACGAGGACUUCCAGAACUGGAAAGACAGUCAGUACUUAGCUCACAACAGAUGAGCAUUUUGGAUCCUCGUGUGUGGUAUUCCCGGCUGAUUCUGGGUCAAAGGACUGGGGAGAGCUGGGAAACCAAAAGAGGGCAAAGUAAAAGAUGUGUCUGGUUUCUCAACUGGCUAAAUUCACUUCUUGCUCCGUUCCAGCCCAAGGGUCUUGUCCCUCUGGCAAGGAAGCUGUACAUUGCAACUACCAAUCACCAACUGAGAUCAGGGCCAGAGUGCUUUCAGAGAACUGGCAGUGUCUGUACUUCUCCUUCCCUUAGUAUCCAGUUCCCUUAGAGCUAACUGUCAUUUGAACCAGAACAAAAAACAAUUCAGAAGGAAACAGGUCUUAAAACUACCAGGUGGUUAUUCCUAAUUCUUGCUUUCCUAUGAAUUCUGGCAAGUCUCUGCAUCCUAUAGAUUUCUCAAAUUAGAGGUCUCUGUUUCAUCCACUUCCAAAUAUAUUUGGUAAUGGCCUUUGAAUCCAGCUCAGGCUUUUGAUGUUGUUUUUUUUUUAAUUUAUCUGUAAGAUAAGUUACUUUGCAACUGCUCAUACUCAUCAGUUAACUCAUAGUGUCAAAAAAAUUAUAUGUCAAAUCUGUGCGUAAAGGAAUGGGCACAUGAAUUUCAAUUUGUCUGGUUCAUGAUGAAAACCUCCCCAGCAUUAAUGCUUUCUGAUGUAAAACAAUUUGGUGUGAUAUUUAUCAGCACAGUUACAGUGUCCAGUAAAGAGUUUCUUGGAAUCCCUCUUCUGCAUAUUCCAAAUUUUUUCCGGCUCACCAAAUGACAUAAGUGUGGGAGAGGGAGCCAUAACAGCAGGCAAUCAUCAACAGUGAUGUAAGAAAGGAAUUUGGGGUUUUUUCCUUUACUUUACUUUGGAAUACAAGUGUCAUUUAGUCCCCAGGUAGAAACCAAGUGAUGUUUAUCUGCUGCUUUAUUUUAUUGUUCUACCUGGUUCUCAGGAAAAUAGGUGAACAGCAUAAGGGAAAUGAAGCACUUUCAUCAUCAUAUACUUUCAGUAAAAUUAUAACUUAUACGUGGAAGACCUGUUGCUCUGACUUAAAAAAGAAUCAUGCUACUUUCAGAGUGACUCAUGGUCCAAUCUGUUCCUUCCUGCAGAGAAACAGCUUACAGAGCUCUGGCUCAUCACAGUAUAAAGCACUGUAUCCUCCUACUGAUGUAGAAUACACUUAAUUUUAAGGCUCUUCCUCCUUUCCAUGCAAUUAACCAGUCAAUGCUUCUCUUCCCUUCUCUCCACUUGGGCUCUGAAGGUCACACCAAAUCUUCACCUUCAGCAGAAGGACUGAGCAGGGUCAAAAGGAGAUAUAAAUACAAAAGAUUUCAAGUAGGACUUGCAAGGCAAGGCAGUUUGGCUGUCCAUAUCUGAAAAAAACUGCUGAUCAAAGUCCUAAAGCCUCCAGUGUGGUGUUGAGUUGCAUGUGACAUGUGGGGGUGUAGUUUCAAUGCUGACAGCUCUGCUUAUCAGUUCUUGCAGACUUGGAGCAUGUUCCUCCUGCUGCGCUUACACUGAAGCUUGUGCUCAUGCAACGUGAUACAGAAAAUUAGAAAUCAAGCACCUGCUGACCUACAUGUCACUGGUUCUCUGUGUGGGGUGUACUCUCUGUCCUGCAUCCUGCCACCUUCUACUGCCAAAUCCACAGGGACAUGUGAAAGGCUGGAGCACAUCCUAGAAGGAAAGACCAGAUCAGAACAGUGCUCCAUACCCUACGAUUCUGGAGACAAAUUUAUAAGUCAAAUGAGCACAAGCUACUCCAAGUGAAGAUCUCAGGAUAUAUUUUGUCCUGACUCGCAUGAUGAUCACCUCUGAAAAAGUAUUCCAUUACUUCCCAAUGAUAUUUAUUACAUUUUCUUCAGACUGAACUGGAACCAUAAAGGGUAGAGAUGCAGAGAUAUCCAGCUGUGCUGCCUCCUUACUAUUCGAGAUGUGAUCAUGCAUAGCUGGAAGGGAGGAUACAGACUUCAAGGCUUACAGUUUCCAUUCCCUGUGGCCUAGCAUAAUGAAGGUACAUCUGCAGGCUUUCUUAUCUCAUUUCUGUUUCCAGUAAAUUGUUCUUACCUCAACCUGUGAUCUUUUUACUGUGCAAUCUGUGAUUACAUUUUACUUCCAGUUCUCAUCUCCAUCAGCUGAAGUGGGAAGUGGGAGGGGAAGGAAGAGAGAAGUAUGUGAAUCCUUACUGAAGAUGCCAUAGAUCAGGAGGAAAGUUCUGCCAUCUCCUUGAGAUGUCUGUGCUGGAGCUAUGAUUUCAGGUGGUGAGGAGAGAGAAGACAACAGGAGGAUAGAAACAAAAUGAGUCUAAACAAAUACAAAAAUAUUUUUGUAAAGGACUCUGCUCUUUUAAAAUAUUACAACUUUUCAGCAAUUAAAUCACAGAAUCACAGAGUAUGCUGAGUUGGAAGGGGUUAUCAAGGAUCUUUGAGUCCAGCCCUACACAGCACCAUCCCCCAAGAAUCAUACUCUGUGCCCAAGAAUAUUGUUCAAAUGCUUCUCUGCCAGACCAACAGAACUUGAACUGUCAGGAACACCACAGACCAACUUUCUGGGGGUAGGGCUGUUACAGUUCCCAACCAUUCCCUGGGUGAAAAACCUUUUUCUAAUACCCAGCCUACACCUGCACUUACACAGCUUCAAGCCAUUGUCUUGGGUCCUGUCACUGGUCAUCACAGAGAAGAGAUCAAUGCCUGCCCCUCCUCUUCCCUUCAUGAGGAAAUUGUAGACUGCCAUAAGGUCUUCUUUCAGUCUCCUCUUCUCCAACCUGAACAGCCCAGUGACCUCCAUCACUCCUCAUACAGCUUCUCCUUAAGUCCCUUCACCACCUUGGUUGCCCUCUUUUGGACACUAAGCUCCCUAACAGCUUAAUGUCUGUAAUAAAACUGCCUCCAGCACUUGAGCUGAGGCUACCCCAGUGCAGAGCAGACAAUUCCCUCUUGCUUGGCUUCUGAUGCUGUCCCUGAUGCCCCUCAGGACAGGGGUGACUCUCUUGGCUGCCAGGGCACUGCUGACUCAUGUUCAACUUGCCCUCAACCAGGACCCCCAGGCCCCUUUCCAUGGCACUGCUUUCCAGUAUCUCAUUCCCAGGUGGUCCAAACACCCAGGUUUGCCCCAUCCCUGAUGCUGGAUAAGAAUCCAGCACUUUCCCUUGUUAAACUUCACACAGUGAUGAUUUUCCUGACCUUUAAUUUGUCAAGGUCUCUCUGCAGGGCCUCUCUGCCCUCAAGGCAGUCAACAGCUUCUCUAUGUCUGUAUCAUCUGCAAACUUGCUUAGUAUCCCUUCCAGUCCUGUGUCCAAGUCAUUUAUGAAG